rnacentral:rRNA from 1 species
AUUGAACGCUGGCGGCGUGCCUAAUACAUGCAAGUCGAGCGAGUGGCGGACGGGUGAGUAAUGUCUGGGAAACUGCCCGAUGGAGGGGGAUAACUACUGGAAACGGUAGCUAAUACCGCAUACCAUCGGAUGUGCCCAGAUGGGAUUAGCUUGUAGGUGAGGUAACGGCUCACCUAGGCGACGAUCCCUAGCUGGUCUGAGAGGAUGACCAGCCACACUGGAACUGAGACACGGUCCAGACUCCUACGGGAGGCAGCAGUGGGGAAUAUUGGACAAUGGGCGAAAGCCUGAUCCAGCCAUGCCGCGUGUGUGAAGAAGGUCUUCGGAUUGUAAAGCACUUUAAGUUGGGAGGCGUUACCAACAGAAUAAGCACCGGCUAACUUCGUGCCAGCAGCCGCGGUAAUUC